UAAGGAAUAUUGGACAAUGGUCGCAAGACUGAUCUAGCCAUGCCGCGUGCAGGGAGACGGCCCUAUGGGUUGUAAACUGCUUUUGUACCAGAGAAAACCUAUCUACGUGUAGAUAGCUGAUAGUAUGGUAAGAAUAAGCAUCGGCUAACUUCGUGCCAGCAGCCGCGGUAAGACGAAGGAUGCAAGCGUUAUCCGGAUUCAUUGGGUUUAAAGGGUGCGUAGGCGGGCUUGUAAGUCAGUGGUGAAAUCUCUCAGCUUAACUGAGAAACUGCCAUUGAUACUGCAGGCCUAGAGUAUAGAUGACGUUGGCGGAAUAUGACAUGUAGUGGUGAAAUACUUAGAUAUGUCAUAGAACACCGAUUGCGAAGGCAGCUAACGAAACUAUAACUGACGCUGAGGCACGAAAGUGCGGGGAUCAAACA
rnacentral:rRNA from 1 species